rnacentral:rRNA from 1 species
GACGAACGCUGGCGGCGUGCUUAACACAUGCAAGUCGAACGGUGACGGAGAGCUUGCUCUCCUGAUCAGUGGCGAACGGGUGAGUAACACGUGGGCAACCAGCCCAGACUUCGGGAUAACGCUUCGAAAGAGGUGCUAAUACCGGAUACGAGCUCCUUGGGCAUCCUUGGAGUUGGAAAAGUUUUUUCGGUCUGGGAUGGGCCCGCGGGCCUAUCAGCUAGUUGGUGAGGUAACGGCUCACCAAGGCGACGACGGGUAGCCGGCCUGAGAGGGCGACCGGCCACACUGGGACUGAGACACGGCCCAGACUCCUACGGGAGGCAGCAGUGGGAAUAUUGCGCAAUGGGCGAAAGCCUGACGCAGCAAACGCCGCGUGAGGGAUGACGGCC